GGUCAAAAAUAGCAAGCACUCUGAAACUAGAAACUUCUCCUAGCCUCAGUUAUUGGAGUGUGUUGUAGAGGUAUUUGUCUGCCCCAAAACCAAGCGUUCAGCAAGGAUUUAAAAUAUGUAGAAGUAAGUAAAGAAGUUUAAAUUUUUUUUACAGGUAGAAGGCACAUAUGCUUAAGAAAUCCUUGGUGUAAUUUAUGUAAAACUGACAUUUGUUAAGAUUAAAUUGGAGGUCUUCUUAAAAUGGCUGUAGUUUUGGGGCAGUUUAUGGAGUUUCACCCAGUUCAUGGUACCAAUGUGCAACUGGAUUGCUGCGGGACUAAGGCCACCCGAGUUGAAAGUUUUGCUAAUGGAAUCUGCUUUAGCAAACAUCCUUUAAACCCUGGAGAGAUUUUCCUGGUGGAAAUUGAGGACAAGGAGAUAGGCUGGUGUGGCCACCUCAGGAUUGGACUAACCUCACAUGAUCCUCAAAACUUGGAGACGGUUCCUGAGUAUUCCCUGCCUGACCUGGUGGAUCGAGGAGGAAGCUGGGUGUUUGCCAUAACCAGAAACCACAACAAGGUUACUGAGGAUGAGGUUCAGGAGGCCCAAGGAGCAGAUGGGAGGCAAGCGGAUGGGAAUGAGGGCAGCAAUCUUAAAACUUUUUUCACCGAAAGUCACUUGUCUAUAGAGAAUGUGUGCAUACCAAAGGACAAGUUGGUGGGACGGAGUCGGCCUGGUCGGUAUAGUCACAUCCUGGAUGAUCUGUAUAAAAUUAAUGCUCUGCCUCCUACUGCCAGACGCAGUCGGAUAGGAGUUUUGUAUGUGCCAAAAAGACAAGGUUUUGCUGAUAUGCAUAUUGUCAUCAAUGGUGAAGACAUGGGUGCCAGUGCCAAAGGAAUUCCAACCAGUCAGCCUCUCUAUGCUGUUGUGGACGUAUUUGCUGCUACUAAAAGUGUCAGAAUUGUACAAGUGGAAUAUGGCCUUCCCUCACUCCAGACACUUUGUCGAAAGACUAUUCAGAAGAACAUCAUUCACCGAAUGGCUUUGGACUGGUUGGAGCUCCCAGAGAUGCUAAAACAUUACUGCAAAUUUGAGUAACAGAGUCAGGAGAGAACUGGAAAGACUCCGGCAGCAAAUAGUUUACACACUCUGAAGCUAAGAGGAAUAUAUGUUUGCUCGCAGUGUGCAAACUCACUAUUUUCAAGUAGAUCCAAAUAUGCCCAUUCCUCGCCUUGGCCAGCCUUCACAGAAACCAUCCAUGAGGACAGUGUAACUAAAGUGAUGGAG